rnacentral:sRNA from 1 species
UAGAUGGUGAGGUUGCCAUGUGCCAAU